rnacentral:rRNA from 1 species
CGCUGGCGGCGUGCCUAAUACAUGCAAGUCGAGCGAACGGACGAGAAGCUUGCUUUUCUGAUGUUAGCGGCGGACGGGUGAGUAACACGUGGAUAACCUACCUAUAAGACUGGGAUAACUUCGGGAAACCGGAGCUAAUACCGGAUAAUAUUUUGAACCGCAUGGUUCAAAAGUGAAAGACGGUCUUGCUGUCACUUAUAGAUGGAUCCGCGCUGCAUUAGCUAGUUGGUAAGGUAACGGCUUACCAAGGCAACGAUGCAUAGCCGACCUGAGAGGGUGAUCGGCCACACUGGAACUGAGACACGGUCCAGACUCCUACGGGAGGCAGCAGUAGGGAAUCUUCCGCAAUGGGCGAAAGCCUGACGGAGCAACGCCGCGUGAGUGAUGAAGGUCUUCGGAUCGUAAAACUCUGUUAUUAGGGAAGAACAUAUGUGUAAGUAACCGUGCACAUCUUGACGGUACCUAAUCAGAAAGCCACGGCUAACUACGUG